UACGUAGGGUGCAAGCGUUGUCCGGAAUUAUUGGGCGUAAAGAGCUCGUAGGCGGCUUGUCGCGUCGGCUGUGAAAACCUGGGGCUCAACCCCGGGCCUGCAGCCGAUACGGGCAAGCUAGAAUUCGGUAGGGGAGACUGGAAUUCCUGGUGUAGCGGUGAAAUGCGCAGAUAUCGGGAGGAACACCGGAGGCGAAGGCGGCUUGCUGGGCUCGGUCUGACGCUGAGGCGCGAAAGCGUGGGGAGCGAACAGG
rnacentral:rRNA from 1 species